rnacentral:rRNA from 1 species
UUUACCAUGCAAGUCGAACGGUAACAGGUCUUCGGAUGCUGACGAGUGGCGAACGGGUGAGUAAUACAUCGGAACGUGCCUAGUAGUGGGGGAUAACUACUCGAAAGAGUAGCUAAUACCGCAUGAGAUCUACGGAUGAAAGCAGGGGACCUUUGGGCCUUGUGCUACUAGAGCGGCUGAUGGCAGAUUAGGUAGUUGGUGGGGUAAAGGCUUACCAAGCCUGCGAUCUGUAGCUGGUCUGAGAGGACGACCAGCCACACUGGGACUGAGACACGGCCCAGACUCCUACGGGAGGCAGCAGUGGGGAAUUUUGGACAAUGGGCGAAAGCCUGAUCCAGCAAUGCCGCGUGCAGGAUGAAGGCCCUCGGGUUGUAAACUGCUUUUGUACGAAACGAAAAGCCUGGGGCUAAUAUCCCCGGGUCAUGACGGUACCGUAAGAAUAAGCACCGGCUAACUACGUGCCAGCAGCCGCGGUAAU